CGGAUGACGGGAGCUUGCUCCUUGAUUCAGCGGCGGACGGGUGAGUAAUACCUAGGAAUCUGCCUGAUAGUGGGGGACAACGUUUCGAAAGGAACGCUAAUACCGCAUACGUCCUACGGGAGAAAGCAGGGGACCUUCGGGCCUUGCGCUAUCAGAUGAGCCUAGGUCGGAUUAGCUAGUUGGUGAGGUAAUGGCUCACCAAGGCGACGAUCCGUAACUGGUCUGAGAGGAUGAUCAGUCACACUGGAACUGAGACACGGUCCAGACUCCUACGGGAGGCAGCAGUGGGGAAUAUUGGACAAUGGGCGAAAGCCUGAUCCAGCCAUGCCGCGUGUGUGAAGAAGGUCUUCGGAUUGUAAAGCACUUUAAGUUGGGAGGAAGGGCAGUAAGCUAAUACCUUGCUGUUUUGACGUUACCGACAGAAUAAGCACCGGCUAACUCUGUGCCAGCAGCCGCGGUAAUACAGAGGGUGCAAGCGUUAAUCGGAAUUACUGGGCGUAAAGCGCGCGUAGGUGGUUCGUUAAGUUGGAUGUGAAAUCCCCGGGCUCAACCUGGGAACUGCAUCCAAAACUGGCGAGCUAGAGUAGGGCAGAGGGUGGUGGAAUUUCCUGUGUAGC
rnacentral:rRNA from 2 species